rnacentral:rRNA from 1 species
ACGGAGGAUGCAAGCGUUAUCCGGAAUCAUUGGGUUUAAAGGGUCCGUAGGCGGACAAUUAAGUCAGGGGUGAAAGUCUGCAGCUCAACUGUAGGACUGCCCUUGAUACUGGUUGUCUUGAAUCGUUGUGAAGUGGUUAGAAUAAGUAGUGUAGCGGUGAAAUGCAUAGAUAUUACUUAGAAUACCGAUUGCGAAGGCAGAUCACUAACAACGUAUUGACGCUGAGGGACGAAAGCGUGGGGAGCGAACAGG